CUUUCAUUAGCUGCUUUAUUUAUCAUUUAUAUAAGUAACAAUAUUUUAUAAGCACAAGACAUACACAACACGUUUAGCUAAACAGAAUAACACCUAAUAAUGUCUUCCGAAGAAAGAAAGAAACUUUUAAAAUAAUAAAUCGCCAAUACAUUUUAAUAGGAUAGAACUUUCUUGUUUCUAUGAAUUCUUUAUUGAGUUAUAAUGUCAUGAUGUUAUUAUCGGAAUGAUACCUUUUGAACAUAAUUUAUUAUAUAAGGAAAACAUGGAGAUGAAUACACAAUAUACGAAAUAAGAAUGAUUUAAUUUCAUUUAUGUUGAUGAUAUAAGAUAGAGUAACAUACUGUGGAUGACCACAGUUAUAUUAAGUAUAUGAUGAUUCUGUGUUGUAAUCAAAGGCUUGUUAGCACUUGAGGGUAAACAUAGAUUAUAUCAGUAGAAAGUAAAAUUAAAUAUGUCAUUGUAUAAAGCAUUGGUUGUAGUUGAUUCAACUACAAUUAAGGACAAAUGAAUACAACUCCAAGUGUCAAGAUGACUUUUGGUAUUUUUAGAACAGAUUCUAGAUUCCUGCACCUUGCAAAAGUUAUGUAAUUUUCUUGACAAAUGUAACAUCAUUAUGCAUCUUGAAUAUGUGAGCAUAUAUUUCAUUGAUAAAUUUCAGGAAAUUUUCAUGGAUAGGAUGAAUAGAAUGUUAUGAUCAAUGCACUAUAUUUUUAUUAUCACAAAAGUAGUGAUAAACCCUAGAAGCCAGUUCUAAAGGGUGUUGAUGACAUUUCAGGCAAUCUUUACCCAAAAGUGAAUUUUACAGUUAAAAGAAUCGUAAUUAACCAUCUAUUUUAUUUAUUUGUUUAAUAUAUUGCUAAAACAUAUCAAUCGUUCCCCUUAUUAUCCUAGGUCGAGUAGAGAUGAAUAAAACACUGCAUAAAUCGUUAAAAGUAAGUUGCACAUGGUCUUUGAUUAAUCAAGCAAUUAUAUUGGAAGGAUUUACUUAAAAAUAGUACUUCUGAAAUAAGUUAAACUCACGCUAUUACUUUCAGUAAGAUUUUAGACAAAUAUCUUUUUUCAACGACAAACAUUAAUAGGUGCAAAUAUCUACUAAAAGGAAACUAUUGUAAUAAAGUAUUGAUAAGCAUCUAACUAAAUUUUGGCACGAAAUAGCACAAAUGUUGAAAAUGUUACUCGCUCGACUCGCUCCAAAAAGAUGCAAUGCGAGUAUAGAAAAUGUAACUCGCUUCAAAAAGAUGCAAUGCAAGUAUAGAAAUAUACGCAUUCAAAGUCUGUCAUAGUAAAUAAAAAAAAAUAGAUAUAAAAAAUCAGAAAAAAAUAUUAUGGAAUGUUUAUUCAUUGCUAUUCAGUAAAAAGGAUAUUCAUGAAUUUCGAAAAGGAAAGGUUUACUCCACGACUUUUCUAUAAAAUUCUCCCAUACUUUUGUCUAAGAACAUUUAUAUUGACAUGAAAUUAUAAAUAUCUCUUCAACAACACUUGUAAACAUUAUAUGUAUCGAGUGAGCUUCUAUCAAAUCUGCAUCAAAUACAAUGACAUUUUAUCUGCAACUCUGUGCUAAUUGAAUAUUUAAUUUUAAGGCUGAUUAAUUUGACAUCUAAAAGGUCAUAAAAUUGCUGAAAUGGUUAAAAUGCGCAGUAAACAGUAAUGUCCAUGAAAAACAUCCUGUCAGAGCAUUUUAUAGCCAUAAAAAUUUUGAUUUCGUAGUAAAAUACUUAAUGUAUGGUGUUUAUUUUGAAAGUUUUGUAGCUUUAUGGCCUUGCCUGCGUUCAAAGAUCAUAUCAUAUCUUAUUUUGGGAAAUAUUGUUCUUAAAGUUAACAUUGUUCUUAGAUGAUAAAGGUUUUAAAGCAUUGACCCGCUUUAAUGAAAACAAUGCUUCAUAAUAGUUUAUCAUUUAGUUAACAUUUUUUAUUUUAAAAAAACCUAAUAAACUAAGUAUUUGAAUGCAGUUAAUGAAACGUGAAGGAUUAAUUACUCCAACAAUUUUCUCUAAAUGCUUCAUAACAUGACAAACGGGAGAUAACUCUUCCUUCUAAAAUAAUACAAUAAAGUGGAAACAGCAAAAAAACACCGAAAUUAGAUAUCUAUAAAGUGUGUACCUGGUUUUUUUUAAAACAGAAAAAUAUUUAUUCAAGGUAAUAUCAUUACUCUUUUUUGCAGAAACAUUUUCCACAAUACCAUUCAACAACACAUUGUACAUUUUAUAAUCUUAAAACGGACAAAAAUAUAAAUAAAACACAUUGAAAUCACGGUCAUAAAUUGAAGAAGCUGCAACAAGCAGCAAAAGUAUGGCACUCAUCAUCAUGAUAUUUCCAGUGCAAAAUGUUUAUCAGACUACAAUAAAUUGUUUACAGUUGAACUUAAUUGCCUGGAACCUUUCUUUGUUGGUCAAAUAUUUAGUGUACUACAAUAACAGAGUGACCACUUCCCUUAUAACUUAAACAAAUGAACAUUACCAAAUUUAACAGUUAUAAAAUAAUCAUAUCUGGUCGUAUUUUAUUGAAAUAAAAGUGUAUCGUGUUUGUGAGUAGUUAGAUCGAUUGACGAAAAUGUAUAACUUAUUGUCAGAAGUAUUUUUCUAGCAAUUUUACAUAAUACCUAAUAUAACAUAAUGUAAACUGUUACUGUUAAUGCUAGCAAUGAUGUAUUAUUUUAUCAAGCUCCAUAUUAAAAAAAUAUUCAUUUAUAGAUACAUUUGUGUGUAAGAAAUUAUCCUACUACUCACAAAACCAAAAAUAGUCUUAAGAUGUUGAUGACAUAUCAUGCGUGUAUUUAGAAGCUAUGAUGAAUGAUAAUCAACAAUACUGUACGUUAUCUUGGCUUUUAUACAAUUAUAUCAUAUUCAGAGAACUGAAAAAUUAGAAUAUACCAUCAUAACAUAUAUUGUCGAAGCAUUUGGUGGGACAUUGUGAUAUAAAAUGUACAGAAACUUACGGAGAUAGGAAGAAAAUAAUAAUCCAAAAACAAGUAACACAUAUAUACAAUUUUACAGCCGCUAUCAAUGUGACAAUUUGAUGAUCUGAAGCAAGAUGCCAGCGAUGGAUCUCAUAACAAUGAAAGUGAUUUAGAAAACUUAAAAAGGAGUGCUAAUUAUAUUUUCUUAAUUUUGGAAUUUCUGAAAAAAUAGGAAUUUAAACAGGGUGCAGAUUAAAUGCAUUUCAUAUGCAUGGAUUGUAAGUUAUGUCAUUAACAGAAAUGAAAUGUAAGGGACGGAUAGAAAGAUGUUAUAUCACUCCAGAUUUUUACAUAAUCCAAAAUAGCACUAAACACCGUCCAUGUCUGCAAAUGAAUAUUCCUGGAGAUGUAGUAACUCUUCCUUAUAUUUGACACAGUACCAUUUAUACAUUUGACACUCAGUUAAUAUAUAAUUUAGUAUUUGUCCUACCGUGACACUGCUAAGGCACAUAACAGAAAAUAUGAAAAUCAAAAUGAAAUAUUAAAUAAUUUAUAAUUGUGAUCAAAUUUUUAAAUGUUUCAUAAAUGUCUUUGAAACUUGUUGAAGCUUUUUGAUUUGAAUACAAAAAAAGAUUUUCAAUCAAUACUUCCAAAACAAAAACCAUUCAUGUAUUCAGAAUGAAAAAAAAUAUUUUACAAAUUUGAAAAGCUUAUAACAAUAGAAACGGUUAAAAG
rnacentral:lncRNA from 1 species